AAAAUGGGGAGGGAAAGAUCACGGGUGAUCACUGAUGAUUGAAGGGUUUGGAAUUCACGGGAAAGGAAGAGCCAAUGUUACCGUUGAUCAAAAUCUACGGCUGCAAUUUGACGCUGAGAAAUGGAGGAUGUGAUCGAUUUGGAGGUAUUUAUAGGAAUUCAUAAAACCCCUCGCCUCUGCUCAUAAUCCAUUUCAGUAUAGUUUUCAUCUUAUAUUUAUACAUGAAGAUCUGGAUGUUUUGUAUAUAUAAAUACAGAACCGAUCACCUACCCACCGUGGGCAAGCAAAACGUGUCCACCAUUGAUGUGACAAUUUUAAUUAGGAAAGAUAAAUAAUAAAUCUUAUUCUAAUUAAAAUUAUUUUACUAUAAUUACAAUUGUCACAUCAUGGUGGGCACGUUAUGCAUGCCCACGGUGGAUAGCUGAUCGGUCCUGUAAAUAAUAGUGUAAGAGUUAGUAAAAAGUAUACUUUAUUAAAAAGAUCCUAAAAUGUGUAUAUAAAGUUGAAUCAAUUUAAAUUUUGUAAAGUGGUGUUUAUUUGACAUUAUAAUAUACUGGUGCAUAAUUUAUUACUCGUGGCUGGCGCGAGCAUUGAGAAUUUCAGAUUAUAGUAUUCUGUUUCAGAUAGAUUAAUUUUUUGGAUGGCUUCAAGGUAUAUAGGACGAAAUAGAUGUAUUUAAAAUUUUAGGGGGUUUGAUAGAGAAAAAUAAUAAACCUAUUUUUUUAGUUUAUUUUAAUGAAUUGAAAUUUUAGGAUACUCUAAGAUUUUUGAUUAUUUCUAUUAUUUAAAUUAAUUAAUUUUGCUUAAUUUUUAUUUCAUUGAAAGGUUGGAAUUGAAAAAAAUCAUUUUCUUAAAGAUAAAAAUAUUUAAUCAUACAUUUUAUCAAUUAUGCAAAGUAAAUAUCCUCAUACUAUUCCUUAAUUUAGAAAAUUGGGCAUGAAAAAUGAAUUUUUUUUUUUUGGAGGGUGGAACGAAGUAUUCCCUGUGUUCUAUGUAUUUACUUUUUAUUAACAUAGAAUAUAUAUGGUUGCAUUCAAUGACAACCACUCCCUUAGAUAAAGAAUGAAGACCAAAUCAGGGCCAUUCAUCGAAAGUAAAUCAACGAGCAGGAUUAAAUCAUGUAUUUAAUUUUUAAGCAAUUAAAUAUUGUUGAUUAAACAUUCUUUUCGUGCAAAAGGUCAAAUGAGUAAACACAUUUUUAUUGUUUGAUCUGUUUAUGAUAUCUCGCAAUUCUUCAUCUCGUUCUUUGGACUUUUUUAUUUUUUAGAAUUAGAAGAAUUUUAUGUUUUUAACUAAAAUUUUCAUCAGCGAUUCCUUUUACGAUAUAUUGCUGAAAUUGCUAAUUGUCGUUCUAGCAAAACACCGCCGCCGAGGGAUUUUUUCUUGGUUUCAAUAUCGCGAUUGUCGAAGUCCGUAGAAGACGACGAAUUGGAUUGCAUCUGAAUUUAUCUCUGCUGGCGACGAACACCCAUCUUAUAUGGUAAAGCUCAUUUCGUUUAAUACAUGACCACCCCCUUUCGUUUAAUACAUGAAGAACCCAUUUUUCGGGGUUCAAUAUCGAGGUUGUCGAAACCAGCAAAAGUCGACGAAUUGUAACCCUGCUCAAUUUAUCUUCGCUUUCAAUAAGCACCAACCUUGUAUGGUUAUGCUCCUUGCGUUUGUUAAAUGAAUAUCAUUUUUUCAUAGUUUACAUUAUCUAAUAUAUUUUGUGAACUGGAUGAACUGCNUUGCUUUGAUGAACAAAAAAAAAUUAAAGAAAUCAAAGAUCCGACCUAUUUUUCCAUAUUUAUCAGAGGUCGUAUGGAACAUCCCAUGUGAUGCAUCAAUUCAGCAUGUCAAAUUGUGUAUCAAAGAACUGUAUAAGGUCCACUGUACAGAUAUGUGUACAAAUUGCAGUUACUUGACAGGCUAAAAAUAUGGAGUACCAUUUAUGUACAAUAUUAAUAAGUAUCAACAAAAAAUAAGAGCUUUGGUAAUACUCCCUCCUUCCAUCAAAAAUAGUCCUAUAAUUUUCAAAAAUAAAAAGGGACUAAUUUUUGUGAACAUUCCAAAAUAGUAAAAAAUGACUACUUUUUGUGGACGGAUGAGUAAAAUUUAGAUAUAACCGAACAUAAACAUAUAUCUCAUUUAAAUUAUGACAAAUAAAAAGAUGCUUCCGCCCAAGUUCACUUGUGCAUUAGAUAACACCUACUACUACUAUUUAUAAGAGAUGGCUUCCUUGUUCUCCACGAUGUCCCAAUCGUAUCAUUUACUAUAACAAAAGAAUUAAUAGUGUUUUAUAUUCCUAACUUUUAACAUUUUUUACAAAAUAUUUCAAAUUUUCGUAAUUACUGUAACUUUUAACGUAAUCCAUAAAAUAUCUCACGAUUCAAACCCUCAAUAUAUAUAUAUAUUUUAUAAAUUUAUAAGUAAAAUAUAGAUAUUUUAAAGACGGUACCACGAUAUACUCGAAUCCAAUACGUCUAACCUUGGACAUUAACUACCUAUAGCUAAGCCAACACACACUCAACCCCUAAUAUUGUAUUGUCAUUUUGUAUAGCGGGAUAUUUAUGAAAAAUACUGAAAGUUGGAGAAUUUUUUAAGAGAAAUGAAAUUAGAAUAUUUAUAGAAAUGCUCAAAUUGAGGACAUGAAUAUUAAAUAUGACUUAUAUUAGCAAAUAAAUUAUAUAUAUAUAACUAAACUGAAGAUGUGUAAUGAUUACGUACAAUUUAAAUACGUUUAGAACUAAAACCUUUGACUUAAUAGAAAAAAAAAAUCUGUUAUAAUCUACCCAUUCUGAAAAAUAUGUGUUUUAUCUAUCCAAAUCUUUCCCACGCGACAGUGCACUAAUCAUAGAAUCCUCCAGCUGUACUCAUCCAAUAUUAUCUAAAGAUAAAAAACAUUAAGAUCGAAAAUGGCUAAAAAUUAGUCUAUUUUCAACGGCAGAAAAUUGUGAAGGGUCAGACAAGUAGUAAUUGGCUCAUUUAAACCGGCUCAAACAAACAAAGAGAAUCCCGCCACGUGUCUGCCAGCAUCAGUGGCGGGAAUGACGGCCUCCCACUCUCCCUCCCCAAAAGCCUUUGAGAAAUUAUUCGUAAACCCCACUACUUUCGUCAAAUACCAAAUCUAAACCCCAAUAUUUUCAACUCGACUCUAUAAAACCCUAAAACGCUUCACCGCAUUCCUCCCCUCCCAUCGUCUCGCAUAAAACAGUUGGACCUAUUCAUCUUCCAUACAUAAUCAUCACGUAUGUAUACACAAACAUAUUAGGUGUAAUUUGCACGUAAUAUCCACACAGAGACAACGAGAGAAUGAACUCCAUGUCUAGAGCAUUGACGCUCGUGGACGAGUAAAUCGCAGGACGCGUUUCGAUGCUAAACAAUAAAUAAAUUACCUGUUGUCGGGGUGGAUGAACAAGCCUUGAGAUAGGUCUUUCAAUCCAUUGAUGACGCUGUACCUGCUGAACCUCCGCCGAGUCAAGUCCAUCUCCAACUCGUUCUCGACCAGAGUGAGUCGGCUGUCGCGUGACGACUGGAUUCGCUCCCUCAAAUCCUCCACCACGUAUUCCUCCCUGCCAUGGCUCGAAUUUCCUUCCUCUCCAUUAUCACUGUGCCCGAUCUUGAAUGAUUUCUUCUUGAACGACUCCAUUUUGCUCCGAUUGAUUUAUCGAGAAUCUGCGCGGGAAAAUUGGUGCGAGGAAUGCGGAUUGACUGGGGUUCUCGAAGCAAAAUGAAAGGAGGGUUUUGAUAAUAAUUAUGCGCGCAGCAGUUAUCGUUAGUUGAUGGUUGAAGGUUCGCGAAUUUUGGAUUUUUAUUUUUUAUUUUUGUGGAAACGUAUUUUUUGAGAGGAAAAUGUGAAUUGUAUCGGCCGGAAAAAAUGGGGAGGGAAAGAUCACGGGUGAUCACUGAUGAUUGAAGGGUUUGGAAUUCACGGGAAAGGAAGAGCCAAUGUUACCGUUGAUCAAAAUCUACGGCUGCAAUUUGACGCUGAGAAAUGGAGGAUGUGAUCGAUUUGGAGGUAUUUAUAGGAAUUCAUAAAACCCCUCGCCUCUGCUCAUAAUCCAUUUCAGUAUAGUUUUCAUCUUAUAUUUAUACAUGAAGAUCUGGAUGUUUUGUAUAUAUAAAUACAGAACCGAUCACCUACCCACCGUGG
rnacentral:lncRNA from 1 species